ACUCCUACGGGAGGCAGCAGUGGGGAAUUUUGGACAAUGGGCGAAAGCCUGAUCCAGCAAUGCCGCGUGAGUGAAGAAGGCCUUCGGGUUGUAAAGCUCUUUUGUCAGGGAAGAAACGGUGAAAGCUAAUAUCUUUUGCUAAUGACGGUACCUGAAGAAUAAGCACCGGCUAACUACGUGCCAGCAGCCGCGGUAAUACGUAGGGUGCAAGCGUUAAUCGGAAUUACUGGGCGUAAAGCGUGCGCAGGCGGUUUUGUAAGUCUGAUGUGAAAUCCCCGGGCUCAACCUGGGAAUUGCAUUGGAGACUGCAAGGCUAGAAUCUGGCAGAGGGGGGUAGAAUUCCACGUGUAGCAGUGAAAUGCGUAGAUAUGUGGAGGAACACCGAUGGCGAAGGCAGCCCCCUGGGUCAAGAUUGACGCUCAUGCACGAAAGCGUGGGGAGCAAACAGGAUUAGAAACCCUGGUAGUCCCAUG
rnacentral:rRNA from 1 species